UUAAAUUUGGUGUAGUUGCAUAUAAAAUUUUCUUUUUUGUGGAAACUAAAAAAAAUUUUUAGUUAAUUUAUG
rnacentral:tRNA from 1 species